ACGAGUAAUUGAACAGGUUGUAGCUGGCCUUUUUAUAGGCAUUGUGCACGCCUGGCUCAUUCCACUCUUCAACCUCUGUGCACUUGCUGUAGGUUGGCGGAAAAGGCAGGCUUGUCCUUGCUUUGGAAGCCUUCCUAUGUUUUUAUCACAAACGUUUCAGUUUAAGAAUGUAAUCUCUGCGUAUAACGCAUCUAUAAUA
rnacentral:misc_RNA from 1 species